CCUACGGGAGGCAGCAGUGAGGAAUAUUGGUCAAUGGACGAGAGUCUGAACCAGCCAAGUAGCGUGAAGGAUGACUGCCCUAUGGGUUGUAAACUUCUUUUAUAUGGGAAUAAAACGUUCCACGUGUGGGAUUUUGUAUGUACCAUAUGAAUAAGGAUCGGCUAACUCCGUGCCAGCAGCCGCGGUAAUACGGAGGAUCCGAGCGUUAUCCGGAUUUAUUGGGUUUAAAGGGAGCGUAGGUGGAUUGUUAGGUCAGUUGUGAAAGUUUGCGGCUCAACCGUAAAAUUGCAGUUGAAACUGGCAGUCUUGAGUACAGUAGAGGUGGGCGGAAUUCGUGGUGUAGCGGUGAAAUGCUUAGAUAUCACGAAGAACUCCGAUUGCGAAGGCAGUUCACUGGACUGCAACUGACACUGAGGCUCGAAAGUGUGGGUAUCAAACAGGAUUAGAUACCCCGGUAGUC
rnacentral:rRNA from 1 species